GGAGUGGUAGUUCAGCUGGUUAGAAUACCUGCCUGUCACGGGGUCGCGGGUUCGAGUCCCGUCCGUUCCGCCA
rnacentral:tRNA from 1 species